UACAGGGGGGGCAAGCGUUGUCCGGAAUUACUGGGUGUACAGCGCGCGCAGGCGGUUGAACACGUGCCGUGUGACAGACGUCGGCUUAACCGACGUAGGCCAGGGUACACGGUUCGACUGGAGGCAGAGAGAGGGAUGUGGAAUACCCGGUGGAGCGGUGAAAUGCGUAGAGAUCGGGUGGAACACCAGGGGCGAAGGCGGCAUCCUGGCUCUGUACUGACGCUGAGGCGCGAGAGCGUGGGGAGCAAACCGG
rnacentral:rRNA from 1 species